rnacentral:tRNA from 1 species
UAUAAGGAGACCUAGUAAAUUCAUUCAAGCGAAAGCAAGAAAGAAAAUACAAAAUAAUAGGUCAAACAGGCAAAAAAGAAAAACUCUCUCAAACUAAACACGGUUCGGGAAUGGGCUAUUAGCUCAGUUGGUUAGAGCGCACCCCUGAUAAGGGUGAGGUCUCUGGUUCAAAUCCAGAAUGGCCCACCUAACCCUAACUAAGUGGGGGUUUAGCUCAGUUGGUAGAGCACCUGCUUUGCAAGCAGGCUGUCAGCGGUUCGAGUCCGCUAACCUCCACUCCCGAGAAAUUCAGCACCAGCCGAAAGCAAAAAAAGCAAAAAGCUGAAUGCUGGAGUAAUCUCCAGUAUCGCACCUUGAAAACUGCAUAAAAAUAACAACAACCAAGAAUGUAGGUGAAUCCAUUGGUAAAGCGUAAGCAAAACCAAUGAAAGUAGCAGACAAAAGAAAUCAAGCCAAAAACA